UAAAACUGCACUCCAACAACACUCUAUUGAGUACUGAAUCUCUAUUUAUAUUCUUCCUAAUUGUCACGUGACCGAUUAUUUCUUUUGUAAUUGUACCAUUACUACGUGACAAUUUAUGAAUAUCGUAACUACCUAUUUCCGCUGGAGUUCUUGUUUUCUUGAUUAUCUCACCCUUUGCUGGAAUUUCAUCUUCUUGAUCAUCUCACGUUUUGCUUGGUGCUAAUGAUUCACGAGGUGCUUGAAAGAAUGUAGAUGUUGCAGUAGGUCGUAUUUUGCUGAUGCUGCGUCUUCGAUCUUUCCAUGGCCUUCGUUACUGAUACCAGUGGAAUGUGCCGGUCGCGUGGCUGCUUGCCCUUGCUGAGGUUGCAUUUGUGUAUCCGGUGAUCGUCUUGCUGAUGUCGGUGAAUCGUACGAGGUGCUUGCCGAGUCUUUGCACGUGUUGUAUGCUCUAUUUCUUAUGUUCCCCAAAGUUAUUGUGAGUUCAAGGACAAGUUUUAAUACGUCAUUCUAUAAGAGGUGGUGCGUGGUGGUAGUUUCUAUUUGGUGAUUUGCUUGCCGAGUUUUAGGUUAUAUUGAAUCAUGGAUACUGACAUGUCUGGAGCUGUAGAGUGUAAGAAAAAGAAAAGAAAUAGAGGGAAGCGCAGGCCGUUCGUACCUCCUUUGAAACGUUCCAGGAAAUCUGGUCGUCGUGGCAAUUAGUGGUUUUUUGGUGACGGGUACUUUCCGCAGAUAAAGAUCCAUACAGCACCCGAGUCCCCUGGACCACUUGGGGUUGGGUAAACGCCCAACCGUCGCGCAAGGCACACAGUGCCUUGCUUCCUGGAUUAGCUAGGCCUGCAGGGGCUGUCGCUCGUCUCAGGUCGAACGGGGCCCUUUCUAAGCCCUUCCGUCUACCGGGACGGUACCGGAGCAGGUGGGACGCUGCUCACACGCCGAAGGCCAUUCGGUGGGAGAGAACACCUUAAUUCGGCCCUCUUGCCAGCAUCUUGGCCAUCAACCACUGCCACCACGAGUCCAUACCCAUUACUUGACCAAGCAGAGGUGUCGCUACUCCCUCUGGGCUGUAACUCGACCCGCCCGUGGUACCAACCUAAGUCGUUGGUGGGACUAUCGUGUGGAUGUACGGCCACGUCACUACCAGCCCGACGUCCUGCUAACCGAGCUCGGCAGUUCCAGAUGGGACUCACGUAAGCGGGGAUCACAGGGCACCCGACAAACCCUGAACUGUUCCCGACGGCCCCAUCCUUGGCAUCAGGAUCGUGGGUGCGCUACUACCCAAGGCCGUGGAGAGAGCGCGGCCACCCCACUCCUCCAGCGACCUUCCCUGCGGUGUACAUAGGGACUCACGUAAGCGGGACGCUUGUCCCGACGGUCCCCCUGGCUGCGGGAACGUGGGUUUGCCAGCCCCCAUAGGCUCGCAAAGCGAGCCCUCCCUGCGGGAGGUCGUCGUGGCAGUGCAAAAGGUCGUAAUCGGGUGCUAAAAAGGUUGGGAGGCUCAACUUCCAUGGAGGGUAGUAAUGGCGUGGUUACAAUCCCAUCGCCGAGUCCUGAUGGUCCUCCGGUUAUUGACUUGACUUUCUCCGACGAAGACACCCUUGAGUUACCGCCAAGUUCUCCUGUGGUCGAAGUGGUAGAUACAAAUGCCUGUGCCAAGGCCCGUUUUCCGGACGAGAUUCCUGGAAUGUUUUAUUUCUUAUAUUUGUCAAUAAAAGUAUAAUAUAU